GAGCACAAAAAAAGAAGCAUGAAUUCCUUGUUGCUGGAAUGGAUUUAUCAGAAGGGUCACAGAAAAUGCACCCAGAUAACCAAUGGUAGCACAGAAAGCACCACAGAGGAAAGAUCCAUUGAUAGCAGAUGGACUAUUAUGGGAGGUUGCAGCUGGAAUUUCCCUAUAGACUAGCAACAAGCUCCGCAAACCAGCUGAGUGGCGGCGGACCAGCUGAGCAGCGGGAACAGCAGAGCAGCACACAGCAGGAGUUUGCCUGGGAUUGGACAGAAGCGACUUUGUCCGUACAAAGUGCAAGCUAGUAUCCAUAUUGGAAGAGAAGAUUGAAGGUCUGGAGCAACAGAUAUCUACCCUGCGUUGCAUAUGAGAAUCUGAGGAUUUCCUGGACAAAAGUCAGGAUAUGCUUCUACGGGCACAAAGCUCUAAAGAUUUAGAGCAGGUUGCACAGCAGAGCCAAGAGACCAGUGAAGAAGCUUGGCAACAUGUGACCUCCAGAAGA